UUUCUCUAGAAGUUUCCAAGGGUCACUUGUGUCUCGUCCGUGGGAAGACCGGGGGAGCCCAGAAGGCCUUGGUGUGGAAUUCUGAGAGCUGAUUCCUGCCUUGUCUUCUCCACUGUUCCUGGAGGAAUCCGAGAAGAGCAGAGCGGAGGGAGCCCCAGACACGAAAGAAAUGACCGCCCGGAUGUGCCACUGAGAGCCCCGCGGGUCUCCCGGUGCCCGAACCGCCGCUGGGGCCUCGGAGACUUGGAGGAGGACGCUCUGGAACCAUCAUCCCGCUUCUCUCCGGCCUGAGCAUCUCAGGGAGACCAGGGGCCGAGCCGCUGAGCAGGUGUUGGUCCUCAGGAGCUCCAACCCCGGACGGCAGAUGCCUUCCUCAGUCUCGAGCCUCAGUCUCCCGUCUGGGACUAAAACGUGAACUCUGUAAUUCUAUGUGUUACUAGCAACCGGAAAAGCCCACUGUGUUUUUAAACCACUUCCACUUUCCAGGAGGCUGGAUGGCUUCCAGGGUCACUCCUUGCCCUGGGUGGCUCCCAGGCUCCUGGAACUUCUGCCU
rnacentral:lncRNA from 1 species